AAAUGGCGGCCGAUGCAGCUCUAGUUUCAAUUUUGCCCACCUGAACAGACAAGUUGGUGGCACUGUAAGCUAUCAAUACAGAAUUUUGAUUC